CAGCCACUUCCUUCACACUGCGGUUGUGCUUCUCUCUCGCCGCCGGUCAGAUCUCUGCACCGAUCUGCUCUCUUCUAAUUAGUCCCUGUCGCCACCACUGACAGCCUCCGCAUACUCCUUCCCUCAUCGGUGGCUGAGUUACUUGCUGCUGACCUGCUGCUCACUCCUUCCCUCCGCCGCAAUCACCGCUUCUUCCUCGUGAUCCAGGUAGAAGAGUGAAAGAGAAAAGGAUUGGAGUCAUUUGUACAAAAUGCUUCAGCACCAAAUUGUGCAAUCCCCUGCUAGGCUAGGCCUCACAAACCCGAAUUCACCAUCCAUUCCGAAUCCUACUCCGCCAAAGCUCCCUCCCUCACAGAGCCAUCAUCACCAGCCCCACCUAGACCGCCACGCAGCUGGCCCUUCUGCAGCUCUGCUCUAUCUUCUCCCACCUCUCCCUCGAGCACAAGCACUUCUUCAACAAAUGGCUUCCUUAACUUCUAAGCUCUUUGAAGUUUCACCCAACAGGUCGCUUUGGGUCACUGCAUUCCGAGGAUCCAUCCCCACCUUCCUUUCUACCCAAGGCCAAGCUCAUUCAUC